GUGAACCGCCAUUCUUCUCUGGGUCGGUUCUUGAGGACUUCCGGUUCGUUGGUACAUCACGCGAGGCUUCACAGGGGAUGUCGUUGCUUCCCUUCUCAGCGGAAAUCGUACACUUUGGAAAUGUUACUUCGAAGGUUUCAGUGAAAACACCAACACCCUGCCGCGUCUGUCAUCGAUUUCCAUUGUUAACCGAGCGUCGGACCGGAAACUGGACGCCGACUCCUUAACGACUUUUCGACACCAGACUUCUACCUGCUGGCUCCGAAAGAAGAAGAUGGAAUGCGGGCCCAAGAGACGGAGAGUAGGGGAAACGCACGAUCGGGCCCCAAUGGCAAGGAGUGAGGGAAACGAUCGAGGCCCAACGUCUCGCAGGAAACGGUCGCUGCGUGCAACCGAUCGGGACGAGAUAAUUCCAAGCGGUUUAAAACUCUGCCUGCGAGUUUUUGAGUCUCGGCCAGAUUGGAGAUGAGGCUCCAAGAAACAGAUAACCCGAAGAGUCAUUUUCUGGUGGUCAAAAGUGUUGGAACGCAUUCAUGGAGAACCUGAGGCGAUGAAGAUUAUUGGAUGUUUUUAAAAAUUGGAGUCUGUCAGAAUAUUUAGUUUAUCGAAGAGGUCCAUAAAAAAUGUUCUUUAUCGUUAAUGGGAACGCGAAGUUUGAGGAACACUGUGUUAUAUAACGAUGACGAAAGAAAAAGUGACGCGGACGGCGUCGCGUCACGGAGGAAUCCUGGUGGCGUCGUACAACCGACGCUAAUACUUUCGUCGAAGGCCGAAGAGGCGUUGUUACAAUUUCCACGUGAAAUGUGUGUCGUGACCGAAAUACUGCGUCAAUCUGGUCGGUGCGGAGGCGUGCGAUGCAAAGCACCACAUGACACAAAGAAAUAACGCGAGCGCGGUUUCCGAAAAAUUCGCGUUCACCUCUGUUUUCCCAUUCGCUCGGACAUUUCAGCGCUACGGGACACUUCCUGAAAUACUUACUAAAAAAAUUUCUCGGUACAGUUCCCGAAGAUUGUUUGUUCAGCGUAAACAACUCGUUUUUGGGUGAGUCUUGAAGGAAGAAGGGGUUCAACGACACCAGAACUUUUUUGUAAGUUGGCCAGGACUCACGCGUGGCUGCGUCGUUUUUCGUUCUAGCGUGGUGAAUUCACGCGAUGGCGGAAACUUCACGUGCCGACGCAGAAUCGAGUAAAUAAGAAGGAUCUCUCUCGUAAAAUCGAGUGAUCGUAGUAAACACGUGGCGCGUGCAUGUGUCCUGGCUUCUGUAUGCACAUCGCGCAUGACCAAUGUGACUAUAGUUUGUUUAUUCGCCCCUGCCAGACACGAUGCACCGACAAUUGCACUUGUAAUUAAUCGAGCUGAAUAUUCGCAAGGGAAAGUUCAAAUGGGAAGCGUUUAAUGAAAGCCAAAUUGAUUCAAGGUCUUCUUCAGGUUAUCGUAUCUUAAAGAAGCACGCUGUUCCUUUUUUCAACGUUUGAAGUUGCACGAGUUGCUUAGAGUAUAAGCGAUAGACUGAAUAUCAUUGGAUGCUUGAUAUGUUGUAAAUAUCAUGAAAGAUUUUGACAUCUUUGCAAAAGUAAAUUGUAUUACAUGAAAAAUCAGGUUUCAGAAACGAUCAGAGUAAGAGUGUGCUUGCUGUACAUUGAAAUCACCGUCAUUGUUUCACAGAUAUUAACACCGGUCUCGAGUUAACACGUGUUUUGAUGUCCAAACGUUGCACUUGCAUUAUGUAUUUCAAUUUAUGAAACCCAGAGCGGUGUAGAAUAUUGCAAAAGCUUUGCGAAUGCAUUUAUGACAAGUAUAUAUACAAAAAUACACAAGGAUGUGCUCGAGUGCAUAGAUAUAUUGAAUAUAAAUUUAGAAGACAAAAUAUACUACAAUUUAAGUUUCUCUUCUUUAUCUGUGCGUAUAAAAAUAUGAAUUUACAUAAACAUCUAAUCGUCAACAUUUAAUUAACAAUAAUCGUAAUAAACACUGUGUCAUUUUUAACAGAUCAACCUCCCUGGUCCUAGAUUUAUUUCUCUAGAUAAAAUAAAAUAACCAGCAAUGAGAUUGUUUCUUUACGAAAACGGUAAAUUAAUAAAAUUGUUCAUACUGCUCUCCUAUAGAAAACACGAUGGCCUUGAGCUCCAAGGCCAAAGGUGCAAUAACUCAUCCACCAUGGCAUCGUUCCACGUUAAAAAAUAAAUCUUCCAUAAUUCCAAUAAAUUCACUAUUUUAAUUUGAACCUUUGGAAACUGAUAAAAAACGGCCAUGGCGCAUGGUGCGUCCUGAUCAUUCGAAACGCGUACACAAGGGAUGAUGUAACCGUGGAUGGAAGAGUCUGAC